rnacentral:rRNA from 1 species
UUCCCGGGCCUUGUACACACCGCCCGUCACACCAUGGGAGUGGGUUGCAAAAGAAGUAGGUAGCUUAACCUCGGGAGGGCGCUUACCACUUUGUGAUUCAUGACUGGGGUGAAGUCGUAACAAGGUAACCGUAGGGGAACCUGCGGUUGGAUCACCUCCUUA